rnacentral:rRNA from 1 species
AUUGAACGCUGGCGGCAUGCCUUACACAUGCAAGUCGAACGGCAGCGGGGGAGAAGCUUGCUUUUCCUGCCGGCGAGUGGCGAACGGGUGAGUAAUACAUCGGAACGUGCCCUGUAGUGGGGGAUAACUAGUCGAAAGAUUAGCUAAUACCGCAUACGACCUGAGGGUGAAAGUGGGGGACCGCAAGGCCUCAUGCUAUAGGAGCGGCCGAUGUCUGAUUAGCUAGUUGGUGGGGUAAAGGCCUACCAUGGCGACGAUCAGUAGCUGGUCUGAGAGGACGAUCAGACACACUGGGACUGAAACGCGGCCCAGACUCCUACGGGAGGCAGCAGUGGGGAAUUUUGGACAAUGGGCGAAGGCCUGAUCCAGCAAUGCCGCGUGUGUGAAGAAGGCGUUCGGGUUGUAAAGCACUUUUGUCCGGAAAGAAAUGGCUCUGGUUAAUACCUGGGGUCGAUGACGGUACCGGAAGAAUAAGUACCGGCUAACUACGUGCCAGCCGCCGCUGUAA